AAUUUUUCAUUCUUAUUAAUCAGUGAUCCAUUACCGACAUCGGGCGAGAUCUGCACAGUGAUAUCCGGUUGGACACAGAUAUCACGAUCCUCCAUUAGUCGUGUGUCACUGUUCAUGCGCCUUCCAAAGUCUCAGAACCCCUUUUGUGUUCGGAGUGCGUCGUUUUAUCAAGUGUGAUGACGAGCAUUUUAUUCGGUCCUUGGUACAAUAAGUUCUUAGCCUCGAUUCUGAUCCAGUGUAAUGAAUCAUAUCCUUGCUUCAUUUGACCUACUAGAAAAUUGGGGUAUAUGUUACCCCUGGUUUAAC
rnacentral:lncRNA from 1 species